rnacentral:tRNA from 1 species
UAAAUAUCUAAAUUUAAGUAUUUCAUUUACAAUGAUAAGAUGUUUUUAUAAACUUUAUUUAAAUAUUUAUUUUAUUAUUAUUAUUUAUUAUAUUUUU